AAAGGACGGCAUAUGCAUCCAAGUGUGAUGUAAACCAUCCACACGAUUCGAAUUUAUAAUCUAUAAAUAUCAUUGAUUGUUUUUACAAUUCAAAUUUAUAAUUUAUAAAUAUUAUUGAUUGUUUUUAUAAUUUGAAUUUAUCACCUAUUUAUAAGUAUCGUUGCUUCGAGGCUCCAUUUAUAAAAACAAAUGUUGAUUAAUUAACACACAAUUUAUCCAAAAAUUAUGUAAAACUAUAGUCUGAUUAAAAGAAAAUACUAACAAAAAUUGAGAGAAAAAAAAGUCUUAAUCAUAAACCCCUUCCAAGUUGGGGUUUUUGUGCUUUUGCAGAUUGCAGUCAUCCAUUUCAAUCUCAACAAGGCAAACGCCGGAAAAUGGGAGCAGCAAGCAAGGCAGGAGACUUGGUAUUUAAGGCCUUCGUGGGGGGGCUCGGCGUCACUACCAUUUAUCUCACCGCUACAUUCUCCGUCAACGUCUACCGUGGUCUCUCGUGGCAUAAAGCCCAAUCGAAAAAUGAGAAAGAAGGAUCUGUAGUUCAGCAGGAAGAAUGACCCGUCUUCAAGUCCUACAUUUGGUCAUCAUGUUGCUAGCUGAGGUCCUGCCAGAAAUUUCAUAGGAUAUCUGAAUCUUGUCGCAUUAUGUAUUACUUUUUCACAGUUUUUCCAUAGGAUACUUCAUAAUCUUCUCAUCCAACAAACAAAUUGGAUGGACAGUAUGUUAUGUUUAUUCAUUUUCCAUUGCUAUUUUGUUACUGAAAUUCUCCACUACUCCAAGUCAUACUAAGCUAACGACUGUUAAAUGGAGUUGGAACGAUAUUCGGAGUUCAA